rnacentral:rRNA from 1 species
AGAACGAACGCUGGCGGCAGGCUUAACACAUGCAAGGUCGAACGGUUGUAGCAAUACAGCAGUGGCAGACGGGUGAGUAACACGUGGGAACCUUCCUAGGGGUACGGAACAACUCAGGGAAACUUGAGCUAAUACCGUAUACGUCCGUAAGGAGAAAGAUUCAUCGCCCCUAGACGGGCCCGCGUAGGAUUAGGUAGUUGGUGAGGUAACGGCUCACCAAGCCUACGAUCCUUAGCUGAUCUGAGAGGAUGAUCAGCCACACUGGGACUGAGACACGGCCCAGACUCCUACGGGAGGCAGCA